UGCUGUGCUGCAUGCGCAUCAUGCCAUGUGCAUGUUGUGGGUCUCUGUCUGCAAGCGUGAAGGGCAGGAAAAAGGGGAUGGUGGGCGGCACAAUGUGUGGGUGCGAGGAAGGUGUUGUGCAGGUGGUACUGCAGGCACCAGGCACCCGAUCUACGAGACCCAUAGGAUUUUAGGCGUGAGGGGAGAAAGGGGAGUGAGGAUGAAGGUCUUUAAGUGCGAUAGGUGUAGGUGCAGCCACAUAGGUGAGCGGAGAUAGGUUGAGCAGUGCAUGUUGGUGCUGCGAGCACCAAAGGUGCCGGAUCUGCGGGAUCCAUGGGCUUCUGUUGCAUGUGGCGUCAAAGCUGCCAAGUGAGGGUGUUUAUGUGGGUGUUUGGAGGCGGCUAGUUGUGUUGGGAUAUGUGACUUGAACGCGGGUUAUUGUGUGCAUGUGUGAUAGUGGAGGAAAAUUGGAGGCCGCAACCUGUGUCUCUUUCGGCUACCACAUAAGAUAUGAAUAAUGGCUCCACUUCUAUACGGUGAACCUAAAGGAUUUCUUCAGAAGACCCAAAUCUCCAAUAAAUAUUAGUUUCUUAGAUUUAAUUUUUAAUCAUAAGACAUAAUAAUAAUUAAUCAAGCUAAAUUCUUAAAUUUAGUAUGAUACCGUGCCACGGUUGAGGUAAGAAUUACAGCACUCCUUUAUAAUUUUUAAUGAGUUUUCUAUAUGCAUGUAAAAGGUGCAAUUUCAAUGAAAAAAGAAAAUAAUGUGAUUUUAAAUGAAUGUAGGUGUGUGUUCAUGUUUAUGAGAUUUUAAGUAAAAUAAAUUAAUAUUUUAUGAUGUAUUUUCUAUUACUGGAUGUCCAUUGCUAUGUGUAGAUAUUAGGGAUAUGCUAAAUUAUUAUAAAAGGAAG
rnacentral:lncRNA from 1 species